rnacentral:piRNA from 1 species
CUAGGUGAGACAGAGAAACUCAGU